rnacentral:rRNA from 1 species
GACGAACGCUGGCGGCGUGCUUAACACAUGCAAGUCGAACGGAAAGGCCCUGCUUUUGUGGGGUGCUCGAGUGGCGAACGGGUGAGUAACACGUGAGUAAGCUGCCCUUGACUUUGGGAUAACUUCAGGAAACUGGGGCUAAUACCGGAGAGGAGCUCGUGCUGCAUGGUGGGGGUUGGAAAGUUUCGGCGGUUGGGGAUCGAGGUGCGGCUUAUCAGCUUGUGGGUGGGGGAUUGGCUUACCGAGUCUUUGACGGGUAGCCGGCCUGAGAGGGUGAACAGCCACAUGGCUACUGAGAUACGGCGCAGACGGCUACGGGAGGCAGCAGUGGGGAAUAUGGCACAAUGGGCGCAAGCCUGAGGCGGAGACGCUGCGAGCGUGAUGACGGCCUUCGGGUUGGAAAGCGCUUUAGCCUGAUACGAAGCGUGAGUGACGGUAAUGGGUAAAGAAGCACCGGCUAACUACGUG